GACCAGACGGCGCCGCACGAUAUGGCUGGCACCGUGCCGCACGAGUUCGCCGAGUGGGGGUACCAGGAGUACAGCGGCUACGACCCGGAGCUGAAGCCGGACGACAUGGAGCUGGAGGCGGGCGAGGAGGAGGCGGCCGGCGGCCCCGACGCCCGGCGCAAGACCACACAGAACGCCAAGAAGCCCAAGGUACACCUGGACCCCAAGCUGAAGCUGA